GAUGAACGCUGGCGGCGUGCCUAAUACAUGCAAGUCGAGCGAACAGACGAGGAGCUUGCUCCUCUGACGUUAGCGGCGGACGGGUGAGUAACACGUGGAUAACCUACCUAUAAGACUGGGAUAACUUCGGGAAACCGGAGCUAAUACCGGAUAAUAUAUUGAACCGCAUCGUUCAAUAGUGAAAGACGGUUUUGCUGUCACUUAUAGAUGGAUCCGCGCCGCAUUAGCUAGUUGGUAAGGUAACGGCUUACCAAGGCAACGAUGCGUAGCCGACCUGAGAGGGUGAUCGGCCACACUGGAGCUGAGACACGGUCCAGACUCCUACGGGAGGCAGCAGUAGGGAAUCUUCCGCAAUGGGCGAAAGCCUGACGGAGCAACGCCGCGUGAGUGAUGAAGGUCUUCGGAUCGUAAAACUCUGUUAUUAGGGAAGAACAAAUGUGUAAGUAACUAUGCACGUCUUGACGGUACCUAAUCAGAAAGCCACGGCUAACUACGUG
rnacentral:rRNA from 1 species